rnacentral:rRNA from 1 species
ACGGGAGGCAGCAGUGGGGAAUAUUGGACAAUGGGGGAAACCCUGAUCCAGCGACGCCGCGUGAGUGAAGAAGUAUUUCGGUAUGUAAAGCUCUAUCAGCAAGGAAGAAAAUGACGGUACUUGACUAAGAAGCUCCGGCUAAAUACGUGCCAGCAGCCGCGGUAAUACGUAGGGGGCAAGCGUUAUCCGGAUUUACUGGGUGUAAAGGGAGUGUAGGUGGUCUGGCAAGUCAGAUGUGAAAGCCCGCGGCUCAACCGCGGGACUGCAUUUGAAACUGUCAGACUGGAGUGCAGGAGAGGAAAGUGGAAUUCCUAGUGUAGCGGUGAAAUGCGUAGAUAUUAGGAGGAACACCAGUGGCGAAGGCGGCUUUCUGGACUGUAACUGACACUGAGGCUCGAGAGCGUGGGGAGCAAACAGGAUUAGAUACCCUGGUA